AUUGAACGCUUGCGGCAUGCUUUACACAUGCAAGUCGAACGGCAGCGCGGGCUUCGGCCUGGCGGCGAGUGGCGAACGGGUGAGUAAUGCAUCGGAACGUGCCCAGUAGUGGGGGAUAGCCCGGCGAAAGCCGGAUUAAUACCGCAUACGACCUGAGGGUGAAAGCGGGGGACCGAAAGGCCUCGCGCUAUUGGAGCGGCCGAUGUCGGAUUAGCUAGUUGGUGGGGUAAAGGCUUACCAAGGCGACGAUCCGUAGCUGGUCUGAGAGGACGACCAGCCACACUGGGACUGAGACACGGCCCAGACUCCUACGGGAGGCAGCAGUGGGGAAUUUUGGACAAUGGGGGCAACCCUGAUCCAGCCAUGCCGCGUGCGGGAAGAAGGCCUUCGGGUUGUAAACCGCUUUUGUUCGGGAAGAAAUCCUCUGGGCUAAUACCCCGGGGGGAUGACGGUACCGGAAGAAUAAGCACCGGCUAACUACGUG
rnacentral:rRNA from 1 species